rnacentral:rRNA from 1 species
UACGUAGGUGGCAAGCGUUAUCCGGAUUUAUUGGGUGUAAAGGGCGUGUAGGCGGGGAUGCAAGUCAGAUGUGAAAACUCAGGGCUCAACCCUGAGCCUGCAUUUGAAACUGUGUUUCUUGAGUGCUGGAGAGGCAAUCGGAAUUCCGUGUGUAGCGGUGAAAUGCGUAGAUAUACGGAGGAACACCAGUGGCGAAGGCGGAUUGCUGGACAGUAACUGACGCUGAGGCGCGAAAGCGUGGGGAGCAAACAGG